AUCAUGUUGUUUAUUUAAGCAUUGCUAUCAAUUCAUCAUCAUAGGUGUCCACUUGCAAGAACCAUGCAUCCUGUACUGUUUGUGAAAAGAUUGGUAUAUUGUACUCUGAAAAACUAAAGAGCUUGAAAAUGUUCCUUAAGUCCACCACUUUCUGAUGCUGCUAAUGUUGUUUCAUUGACGCAGGACAGCCUGCAGGUCUUAGA
rnacentral:misc_RNA from 1 species